GAAGAAGAAUAAACAGGAAGUGCCUGGUGAUGCGCUGCUGGUGGCUAACCACUUUGUUAUGAGAAGUUUGACAACAAAUGACAAAUGGAGGAUCAUACUUAUUAUUUAGCAGAAGAGAAAGCGAAGGAGCGGGAACUGUCACCGUCACGGAAGCGGAAACACGAAGAAGCGAACCGGAAGCGGGACAGACGGCGGCAGAAAACGAGGGUAAACAUCGGUGUGGCCUUUCCUAAAUGGAAAUCUCUGAUGAGGGAAAAAUGUUUUUCAAAGUGACGCUGACGUUGCCUGUUUUCUGCUGGAAAGGGCGGUGGCCUUGUGGGUAACCUGUGAGGCUGUGACAUGUCCUUCAUGGUGUAUGUGGAGGGCAGCAGCUCUGUCUGGUGUCAUGGUGAAGACACAUGGAGCCAAUAGUGAUGGCAACAGUAGGAUGAAGUGCCAAGAUGAUCUGUUAGACCUCAUGAGACGGCCAUGUUUGUUGUUUUGUGGUGAAGGCUGCAUUAAAGCCAUUGCUGGUGACCACUAGAAGCUAAAAUGAAUGUUAAUAAGCCAGCGUGUUCCCGACUACAGUUCGGAGCCGGUAAGCUGUCACUGAGAGGUGAGACAGGGUAUAUGAAAGAUGCUGAUUUACCUCCAAGCAGGCAUUUUUGAAAUUCACACGUUAUUUCUGUGGUCUCAUAGUCUGGCUCCUGAUGACGUGAGCCCAACAUUCUGUCAUGCUGCCCUCUGCUUGGUGUCGUCUGAGGCCUCUUUGUGUUCUUUUCCCAGUGCUCGUGACUCAGAGAGAAGUCUUCCUCGUCAGACUCACCGCCAUCAUGCCGUGAUUUCAGUCUGCUUUUGCUUGUCGUUCCUCCCUUUUCCCCUGCGGUUGUUCACUUUGUAACAGCUCAUCGUGUUAACUAUGCGAGAAGUAUCGCAGUACCGAUUCCCACGAGGAGAAAACCUUUACAGGUCACAGCUCCAGCAGUGUCGAUCAUUGGAGCCUCUAAAGGGAC